rnacentral:lncRNA from 1 species
UUGUAUACAAUAUUUAGCCUAGCCAAAUUCUUCUCAUGCCCUUCAUAAUCGAUCCAUCUCAGAAUUGGAAGAAAAUCUCCUGGAUUUGAAUUGACACUAAGUGAGAACGCUUCAUCAAUAAGUUCGCGAAAAUGCUUUGCCUCCUUACUUUCCUCACUUUCUCCAAAGUAUCGCUUCCUAACCUCCAUUCUCAUUAUAAUAUUAAAGGAAAGCUCUAAAAAUAGAGAUUAAGUUCAACAUUUGCAAACUCACUUUGUGAAUUUUCAUAGAACUUUUGCAGCAGAAGCUUGAUUUCAUUUUGUUGUAUGGACAGGAAUAUGUUGAGCGACUCGAAGAAAAUAUUUCAACUGUAGUGAAGCACCGAAG